rnacentral:lncRNA from 1 species
AUUUUUGGGAAAUGUUCAAUUUAUAGGGGAGACUCUGCCGAAUUUUCGGCAGAAGUCAUACUUGAAUUCCUUUAGAUUUUGGUUAGAAGGGCAAUUUGGUCUUUUGUGCUCGGUAUUAGCCAGGUGUCGGACACGUACAGGGUUUGGCUCAGAUUCCAAAGUGGAAUUUGGGUCGGGUCCUGUUAGUAGGUCCAUACCCGAAAGCCCGACAAAUGCCACCGUUUCAAAUUCCUUCCCUGACAAUUCCAAUAGAAAAAAGGGAGAAACCACCAGCUUCAGGACACCUUGAAGGUCCUCGACAAGCACUCCAUUGACUUCAUCUCUGUCUUGGAGCUCAAGCAUGUCCUCACCAGGAACUGCGAGAACUUGGAGCCAUUUGAGUUGGAUAAGUGCAUCCGGGAGAAAUUGGAGCCAUCUAAGUUCGAGAGGAGUGGACUCGCAGUGUUUUUGAGGUAGACUAUAUGCCACUUUUGGGGUUUACAACCAUGAUUGGAAGAAGACCAGAGAUCAGUUUAAGAUGCACUUGUCGCUGUUUCCAUAAAGAGGGGAGAGGGGGAGG